GAUGAACGCUGGCGGCGUGCCUAAUACAUGCAAGUCGAGCGAACGGACGAGAAGCUUGCUUCUCUGAUGUUAGCGGCGGACGGGUGAGUAACACGUGGAUAACCUACCUAUAAGACUGGGAUAACUUCGGGAAACCGGAGCUAAUACCGGAUAAUAUUUUGAACCGCAUGGUUCAAUAGUGAAAUACGGUCUUGCUGUCAGUAAUAGCUGGAUCCGCGCUGCAUUAGCUAGUUGGUAAGGUAACGGCUUACCAAGGCAACGAUGCAUAGACGACCUGAUAGGGUGAUCGGCGACACUGGAACUGAGACGCGGUCCAGACUCCUACGGGAGGCAGCAGUCGCGAAUCUUCCGCAAUGGGCGAGAGCCUGACAGAGCAACGCGGCGUGAGUGAUGAAGGUCUUCGGAUCGUAAAACUCUGUUAUUAGGGAAGAACAUAUGUGUAAGUAACUGUGCACAUCUUGACGGUACCUAAUCAAAAAGCAACGGCUAACUACGUG
rnacentral:rRNA from 1 species